rnacentral:lncRNA from 10 species
CCCAGAUACAAUUUUUUUCCUGCAGGCAGGGAUGCCAUCUCUUCACCAUGAGGAAGUGCUGAUUCCUCUCCCCUCUCACUUCCCUUUAGGAGUGUGACCAUCCUGGCCCACCCCUAAGAGUACUGUGCAAUACUUGGUGAUUUCAACACCACAAUGCCUGAUUGUUGACUGAUUUUUCUCUCAGCAACCAGAACAACAUAAGUUCAUUUUUCUCUCUAAGUCUAGCACCGAAUGAACUUGUUUCUCUCUCUCUUUAAAAUUGUAUUUUGCUUAAGUACCAUGCCAGCAAAAUUAAUUCAUUUCUUCAGAUGCACAAAAUGGUCUGUUGACUACCCAGCAGGCCAUGCCUGAUUUAGUAACUAACUUCAACUUUUGUUCAGUCCUUAUCCUUUAUCUCAACACUACUGGCUUUCUAUCCCACAACUACCAUCUGCCCUCCCGACAGGAUGUAGUAUUUUGUUUUCUGAGGCCUUGGAAAGAUGGAGAAGACCAAGGCUGGUGAGAAGGCUCCACAGUUGCCUGGAAUUCAGUGACAAGUGAC